UACGUAGGGGGCUAGCGUUGUCCGGAAUCAUUGGGCGUAAAGAGCGCGUAGGCGGCUAGAUAAGUCCGGUGUGAAAGUCACAGGCUCAACCUGUGAAUGCCGCUGGAAACUGUCUGGCUAGAGUCCGGAAGGGGCGAGUGGAAUUCCUGGUGUAGCGGUGAAAUGCGCAGAUAUCAGGAGGAACACCGGUGGCGAAGGCGGCUAUCUGGACAGAGUCUGACGCUGAUGCGCGAAAGCUAGGGGAGCAAACAGG
rnacentral:rRNA from 1 species